rnacentral:snoRNA from 1 species
UGCCUAAGCCACGUCCUUGGAAGCUUCUAAGCGAUGAUCAUGGAUGCUAUGAUUGGGCAAAUAUUAAUAUUUUCACAUUUCUGAUAGGAAACCAAGGGCAUUAAUUCUAUUGCUCAUUGGUGCCAUUUUUGUGAUUACAUUA